rnacentral:sRNA from 1 species
ACAUAUCAAUGCUGCCAAAGACAGCAGGUGUCUUCGGACAUAAGUUUUAACGCCUGCCGAGGAAGUAUAUAAGACUUUAUUUCCUCUGUCUUCUUUUGCGGACGGAGGUUUUUCUUUUUUA